AUGGAGGUCCCAGAACAUGCACAUCUUGGAGAAGGCGGCGGCGCGGAUGUUGAAGGUGGUGAGGUCCGGCCGGUACCCGGCGGCGCUCAUCUCCAGGAAGGCGCGCUGCAGCGACUUCAUCUUGAAGUUGGCCGCGAAGGAGAGGAGGUAGAGGUUCCAGAGCAGGUUGCCGGCGUCCCGGCGGCCGAGGCCGACGCCCCUGACAAACUCGCCGAGCUUGUAGUACUUCCGGUGGGCGAUGUACGCUGA
rnacentral:rRNA from 1 species